AAACAGAUCUGGAGACCUGUGAAGACAAAGUCACUCAGCUAUCAUCAUGAUGCAAUUUACACCGUCUAAGUUUUUGGUGGCCAGAUGAGAUUUAUCCAAAAGAAUACUGAGAUAUUGAAGGCUCCCAAGGGGACCCCUGAAAUCCAUCAUAUCUACACACCCCGCAGAGUGGAGGACUGUGGUUACACAGUGGUGAAUUCUCACCAAUCACAAUUACUUAUUGCAGAUUCUGCCCUGCCUUCUCUGCUGGCGCACCUGCCCUGAACCUGAUGUCACAGACUGUAUGUG